rnacentral:rRNA from 1 species
CCCCUAGAUGUUCUGGGCCGCACGCGCGCUACACUGAACAGUUCAACAAGUCUUAACCUUGGCCGAUAGGUCUGGGUAAUCUUUGAACGCUGUUCGUGAUUGGGAUAGACCUUUGCAAUUAUGGGUCUUCAACGAGGAAUUCCUAGUAAACGCAAGUCAUCAGCUUGCAUUGAUUACGUCCCUGCCCUUUGUACACACCGCCCGUCGCACCUACCGAUUGAAUGGUCCGGUGAAAUCUCGGGACGGCGGCUUGGUCGCUUGCGUCCGACUGCUGAAACUUGAUUAAACCAUAUCAUUUAGCGGAAGGUGAANUCGUANCA